rnacentral:rRNA from 1 species
GUCCGUGCUGUAAACGAUGGAUGCUAGCCGUUGGGGGGUUACCUCUCAGUGGCGUAGCUAACGCGUUAAGCAUCCCGCCUGGGGAGUACGGUCGCAAGAUUAAAACUCAAAGAAAUUGACGGGGACCCGCACAAGCGGUGGAACAUGUGGUUUAAUUCGAGGCAACGCGAAGAACCUUACCAGGAUUCGACAUGUCCUCUAUGAACCCCCGAAAAGGGGUUCUUCACUUCGGGUGGGAGGAACACAGGUGCUGCAUGGCUGUCGU